rnacentral:misc_RNA from 1 species
CUUCCUCUUCCUUUCCGAAUCCUCACAUCUCUCUCAAAUAAAAUUAUGUAGAAAAAUUCAAAUAAAUAAACCCAACAACUAUUGGAUGCUUCACAGAUUUAAGGAUGAUCAAGCAGAGGUACAAGGCUCGGUGUUUUGGGUUUCAGCUAAAAGAGGUGCAACUAUUAGUCCAAUCGGAAGUAAGAACACAUUUAUCAGGGGGAAUUUGUGUUCUUGGUAAUUCUGGAGAAUUAGACAACAUGUGGGAGGGGGGUGAAGCUUGAAAAUAAA